UGCCCAUGCGCAUUAUUCAAACACACACCUUUCCUGUAUUUGAAAAAGAACAACAAAAGGACGAAGUCGAAAGAUAAACUUCCCGUUUAUCACGUAUAUUUAUGAAGCUUGUCAAACAGAUGGCUAAAAGGCAUCAAGUGGAGCAAAAUCAAAAUUCAGUUUUAGGAAUUCCAGUCUUUAAAAUCACCAAAGAUAUACUGCAAGAGUAAAAAGAUGUCACUUACACACUGAAGACCUCUCCUGCUUAAAAUUUACCGCUGAAAGAUCCUGAGAUGGUGGAAUAGUGAUGACAUGCAAUCAGGACAAAAAGAGACAAAUAUAACAAAUGAAUUUAUAAAAUAAAUCUUGUAUCAAAAGAAAUAUCAUUGUAUUACUAUUUUUGAUAUUAUUGUUCCUGAGUAAAUAAGUAUUAAUGUAAUGGUUUAUGAGGGUAAUAUAGACAUUUAUAUAACAUUUAUGUAUAUAUAAUCAAGGACAUUUGUUUUUUGUGGACAGUUGUCUGGUUAGCAGUCAUGCAGCAUC